AGUGAACGCUGGCGGUAGGCCUAACACAUGCAAGUCGAACGGCAGCACAGUAAGAGCUUGCUCUUACGGGUGGCGAGUGGCGGACGGGUGAGGAAUACAUCGGAAUCUACUUUUUCGUGGGGGAUAACGUAGGGAAACUUACGCUAAUACAGCAUACGACCUACGGGUGAAAGCAGGGGAUCUUCGCACCUUGCGCGAUUGAAUGAGCCGAUGUCGGAUUAGCUAGUUGGCGGGGUAAAGGCCCACCAAGGCGACGAUCCGUAGCUGGUCUGAGAGGAUGAUCAGCCACACUGGAACUGAGACACGGUCCACACUCCUACGGGAGGCAGCAGUGGGGAAUAUUGGACAAUGGGCGCAAGCCUGAUCCAGCCAUACCGCGUGGGUGAAGAAGGCCUUCGGGUUGUAAAGCCCUUUUGUUGGGAAAGAAAAGCAGCAGGUUAAUACCCCGCUGUUCUGACGGUACCCAAAGAAUAAGCACCGGCUAACUUCGUG
rnacentral:rRNA from 1 species